UAUGACCUCAUCCUCAGAAUGUUAGGCAUUGUUUCCAUGGGAACUGGCAGACCCAAAGCAGCCCUGAGGUGUCUAUUCCAAGGUAACAGACACCAUUCUCCUCACUGCAACGCCUCACCAGGCUGUCCUCACUCAUGUUUCUGGGCUGGUGCACCUCUCCACUCCUGGGAGGCCUAGGUGGGUGCCUUCCUCCAUGAGGCCCAGCCCACCAAUUUCAGGAGACACCUGAAAUCCAGGCCCCCCACCUGGGACCCAUCACCUUCAAACUCCUAGGACCCAGCCCCAACAAUAGGAGACUUGUGGGGCUCAACCCUCCACCUAGAGCCCCAACCCUGUCAAGCUCUGGAGACCUGAAUCUCCUUGAAACCUAGUCUUCAAUCAUGUGACUUCUGGGACCCCAGCCCCUAUGAUUUGAAAAGACCAAGAAUCUCCCUAAUUGGAGACCUUUGGAAGACACACGUCCUGAUCCCUCCACCUUAUCACCUGAGUUUGAAUCCGGAUGAGCAGGUAAAAGACCUCACUUACCCUCAUCA